GCCGCUACCACGCGAGUGGAUGCCAAUCCCCAAAACCUCUCUCAGUUCGGACUGGAGUCUGCAACCCGACUCCACGAAGCUGGAUUCGCUAGUAAUCGCGCAUCAGCCACGGCGCGGUGAAUACGUUCCCGGGCCUUGUACACACCGCCCGUCAAGCCAUGGGAGCCGGGGGUACCUGAAGUGCGUAACCGCGAGGAGCGCCCUAGGGUAAAACUGGUGACUGGGGCUAAGUCGUAACAAGGUACC
rnacentral:rRNA from 1 species